rnacentral:rRNA from 1 species
CCUACGGGAGGCAGCAGUGAGGAAUAUUGGUCAAUGGGCGCGAGCCUGAACCAGCCAAGUCGCGUGAGGGAAGACGGUCCUAUGGAUUGUCAACCUCUUUUGUCGGGGAGCAAAAGACGCUACGCGUGGCGUUCCGCGAGUACCCGAAGAUACAGCCUCGGCUAACUCCGUGCCAGACGCCGCGGUAAUACGGAGGAUGCGAGCGUUAUCCGGAGUUAUUGGGUUUAAUGGGUGCGUAGGCGGAAGAUCAAGUCAGCGGUAAAAUUGAGGGGCUCAACCUCUUCGAGCCGUUGAACCUGGUUUUCUUGAGUGAGCGAGAAGUAUGCGGAAUGCGUGGUGUAGCGGUGAAAUGCAUAGAUAUCACGCAGAACUCCGAUUGCGAAGGCAGCAUACCGGCGCUCAACUGACGCUCAUGCACGAAAGUGUGGGUAUCGAACAGGAUUAGAUACCCUUGUAGUC